rnacentral:tRNA from 1 species
GCCUGGGUGGCUCAGUCAGUUGAGCAACUGACUUCGGCUCAGGUCAUGAUCUCAUGGUUUGUGGGUUCAAGCCCUGCAUCAGGCU